AGCCACUGUGGGUCCCCAGGUCUUAGAGAGAUGUUCAAGGAUGUAACAGGGAUGGAGGUAAGUGUGAAGUCAUGUCAUGGCUAGAAGAACAUGAAGGCCAAGCAGAUGGACAUCUCUCAGAACUAGACCCUCCUCUCUCAACUCCCAGCACCAAAGCCGAAGACCACUACAGUCCAGAACACAGCACGGCCACCAUCAUAGCUUGGCUGACCAGCUCAGGACAGCCCGUCCACCUUCCCCAAGCCGUCUCACCUGCUGGGCCAGCCCUGGCCCCAUCAAGCCAACAGACCCUCUUUCCCUUCUUCUUGAAAUUUUCCACUUCCUCUUGGUCCCUCUUCAUAUGGUGGCAGGAGAGUAAGAAAGGUGGCGGCCCAGGACACUCUGAGGCAGAAGAAAUGAUUUGAGGACUUCCCUGAGCGGGUAGACACAGAGGAAUGGAAACAGGCUGCUUUGCCAUGUGAGAAGCUGAAGAAGGAGCUUCAUCUGGGGCCACGAGAGCUUGGGAGGAGCUGGGAGAGGUCUUGCCUCAGAACUGGGCAGUGCUAGUAUGUGGGUUCCCUGGUGCCGGGCUCACUGUGAACCGAGAGAAAACCACGCAUCACCCUUAUGCUGAUCACUGGGAACGAAUGGGUAUUGCUUCACCUUGAAGGCCACCUUGUUGCAGUUAGACAACUAGCACCACUGCUCUUGUUACAGUACAGCCAGAGUCCCGCUGUACCCCAAGACCAACAACACCAUUGGACUCUGGGCUUGUCGCCGGCCAUGGACAAUCUUUGAUACAGCAAAGGAGGUGGAUUUGGGGUCUGGAAUUAACCCAACCUCCACACCAGGACUAUCAAGGUCUUACUUGAACAAGAGACUCUCGUCCCAAGAGGUGCCAUGGUCAGGCUCCAGAUCCCCACCUCUUGGGGCUGGGGCCACCACCAGGGUGUUGGGCAUGUCUAAGGUGCCCUUCUCCUUGGGCUUGCCUGCCACUGCUGGGAGAGAGAGAAAACGAGCUGCUCCUGGAUAGACGGUGCUCCAGCCAUCUUGCCCUUCACUGGCUUUCAGGAGGGUUGUGUGGGUAAGAAGGUCAGAGAGAGGCAAAGGAGGAGGUGAAGGAAUCUCAAAGCACGGAGGGGAGGCUGGAUGCUGCAAAGGUGAGGAGGAAGCAGGGACAAACAUGGCCGGGUCUAGCACACAGUGUCCUGAGUAGCUCAACUCUGCCUUGGCCAACUCUGCCUCUGAAGGAGUGCUGUGCCUUACCCGCCAACCUCUGACUGCUACUUGUGAGGUUUAUGGACAGUGCUGACCAGCUAAGCCCAUGGGCCAAGCCAGGCUCCAAGGGAUAGAAAGGAACUCAGUGCUCAGUGCCUGGCCUCAGGCACUGCUGAGCCGUCUCCCAUUUCCAGGGCACACGGGGAUGAGCAAGGCCUGGAUGCUCAGCUGGGCUACUGGCUGUCAUUGGGGGAGGAGGUUAAACAUCUAUCCUCCUCUCUGAUGCCUCUACCCUGAUCACUUAAUUACUUACCCACAUCAGCCUCCAAGGCCCUGAAGAAACUGAGGGGAAGGAUCCUCCACAUUACACUCCAAUUACACACCUCAGAAUGCCCUUCAGUUCUCACUCACAGAAGAAAGCUAGAUUUCAGGGAUAACAAGCUCCUUCCAGGAGAAGAAGGGUGAGUCUAGGUAGUUCCACUCACCCAUGUCCUGGCAGGGAAGGGGGCUAUGGAGUUGCUGAAGCACUGAGAACUAGCGGGUAGCAAGUGGAUACAAGCCAUGCUUGUACCCUCGGCUGCCCUCUCUGGCCAUAGACAUCAUCCUCUGUGGCUCGUAAGUAUGGAUGGGCAUUGACUGGGAGUCAGGGGUUAGGGGACAGCCAAGUUGAGCAUGGAUGCCUUUUGGAGACUUUGAGAGAAAGGGAGUCUCUGGGAGAGGAGAAAGGCCAGAGGCAAUCCUGGUUCUUCUGGUUUACAGAUGUCUUUUCCCCAAGACUGCACAUCUCUCCUGGGGGGGAGGGUGCUGUUAGUUGGGGGAGCUUGGACCUGAGCCCAGUAAUCACCCAAGAAAAUUAUAAUAUGGGGCAGAAAGGGACCCUUCGGCUGCUCAUCAAAGUAAUGGAAACAAGAGAAAAGCUCAACAAGGGACUGGGUGGCUGGAAGUGUUGCUCACUUGGCUGGGUAGGCAAAUUCCUACAGUCCCCGGUAAGGGCUGCAAAAUGGGUCCAUAGGGCCUUUGAGGGGCUGGGGAGGUGCCAAGGGGCUUGUGGGAGGGCUAGGGGCCAGUGAACUAGGAUAAAAGCAGCCAACAGUGGUGGGAAGGGACGUAAAGACACUUGUGAGAGACUGGACAACGGACAAGGUCCAUUCAAGGGCCUAGGGAGUCAGAACAAGUGGCUGGUGCCUGCUGCCCAAGGGCAAGGUUGGCAGGACACACACAGCCUGGACUUGUGGUACCAUGGCUGAUAUUUCUGACAAGAGGAAGACUGGGAAGGCAGCUUUGCUUAGAACUGGGAUAAGCUGGGCCUAGUGCCCUGCCCCCACAUCUCAGCCUACUGCCUGCCUGCCUGCCUGCCCUCCCACCGGCUUGGGCCUUCUGGAUUCCAUCAGGUACCACAGCAAUCUGGCUGUGACAUAAUGAGGCAGGCUGGGGUCAGCGGGGUGACCUUUCAUGGCCCCAAUGUUUGGAAAUCCCCAAAUCAAAAUGACCCAACAGACAAGCUUGAGAGUAGAUUUCCCAAGUGGCCCCUUCAAUUACCAAGAGAGGAAAACAGCAGGCCCCAGCCAUUACCAAUCUCCGAGGGCCCAGAGAGGUCCCAAGCAGGCAUGCCUAGCUUUAAGUAAAGGUAAGCCAGGCUGCCUGGAGACAGCACACACCAAGCAAAAGGCCAGCGGAGGGGUGCAUGACUGAGGGGUUCAGGCCCCAUGAUUCUGUAAGCUGUGGUACCAAUCUGUAGGUCAUAGUGGAUACAGGCUCGGGGACGAAUGAAGGCCAUGAGAGGGUUAACUUAUAAUAGCUCAAACAGGGCUGGGGAGAGAAGGCACUGAGGGGCUGAAUGAGGCAGGGUUGCAGGACAGCCACCCCCAGCCCAGAGUUUUGUGAGCCAACAUUCUUCUUUUGUGUCCUUCCUCUCCAGGUGUUAUUUGGAAAAAAAAAAAAAAAACCCACUUCAAACUUCAUACAAAAAAAAAGCUUCACGCUGAAAAUUUAAUGUAGAAACCCUGUAAUCGCUUUUCCAGAGAUAAGACACGGCCAGGAGGGGAACUCGAUCCCUGAAGCCCUCAGGGAGGCAGGG
ensembl:lncRNA